AUUGAACGCUGGCGGCAUGCUUUACACAUGCAAGUCGAACGGCAGCGCGGGCUUCGGCCUGGCGGCGAGUGGCGAACGGGUGAGUAAUGCAUCGGAACGUGCCCAGUAGUGGGGGAUAGCCCGGCGAAAGCCGGAUUAAUACCGCAUACGACCUGAGGGUGAAAGCGGGGGACCGAAAGGCCUCGCGCUAUUGGAGCGGCCGAUGUCGGAUUAGCUAGUUGGUGGGGUAAAGGCUUACCAAGGCGACGAUCCGUAGCUGGUCUGAGAGGACGACCAGCCACAUGGGGACAGAGACACGCCCCGCCCCCCUGGGGGAGGGGGGAGGGGGGAAUUGGGGACAGGGGGGGAAACCCUUACCCCGCCAUGCCGCGGGGGAAAAGAGGGUCUUGGGGUGGUAAGCCUUUUUUGUGGGGGAAAAACUCCUGUGGGCAAACCCCCGGGGGGGAUGAGGGUACGGAAAAAAAAAGCACCGGAAAACUACGGC
rnacentral:rRNA from 1 species